AUGUCAUGGAAUAAUCUAUUGUCCCGUCUGGAUUCGAUUAUCCUGACACAAGGUCGUGAUGUGUUUUGCUGGAACCUUACUACAUCGGGGUCUUUCACAGUAGACUCUAGGUAUCGUGCACUCACGCAUUCUGAGGUACCGGUGAGUAAUAACAAAAAAAAUUGAAAUGCGAAGGUACCACUUAAAGUCAAAAUAUUCAUGUGGUAUCUCCGUAGGGGAGUUGUGCUAACAAAAGACAACCUCGCACGACGCAACUGGCCGGGAAGUAAGAAGUGUUGUUUUUGUACUCAUGAUGAGACAAUUAAACACCUCUUUUUUUCACUGUAA
rnacentral:rRNA from 1 species